CUCUUUCUAGGGCAGGGUCAUCCAGUGGCUGCCAUAAUCAUCAGAUCCCUCCUAUUGGCCAAGUUUGAACCGCAGCUGACCUGGAAGCAGCCUUGACUUCCUGGUAUGGGAACCAUGGAUGGUAAAACCUUAACCGAGAGCUUGAUUUCAGUGCAAAUUUUGGGAGAUUAAUUAGACUGAAUUGUGUGUUGUGGCCACCUCCACAGAUCAUCAACAGUGAUGAAUGUCAGUGUCCUUACUUUGGCAUGGGAUGCCUACUGG